CAGCCAAAGCAAGAACAAAGGAAGAAAAGAAAGAACAAAAACCCUAGGUGGAAAAAUUCAAGGGAAAAGUGUGAAAAUUCAAGGAAACAAGUGAAAAAAAGUAAGAUUUUUCAAUUAAGCUUGAGAUCUCUCUUUCUUAAGCAUUUUUUUCUUAUUUUCCAUGGUUGAAUCACAUGAUUUCAUGAUGAAUCCCAUGCUGGCUGAACACUUAGAGGGAGGUUUUGAUGCUUGGUUUGGUUAGAUUUCAAUGUAUUUUAGUGUUUUUAGUUAGUUAGUGAUGUGUAGUAUGAAAAGCCAACAAGAAAAAUUCACUUCCUCCCAUCACCCAUCAUUGGCCGAAUUCUCCAUGUAGAAUAUUAAUGAUCAUUUUGAUUUUAUUUCAAGUGAUUUGGUUAGGAAUUAGUGAUUUAUGGUGUGAGAAUCAAGCUUGAAAAAUUAUAGUGUUGAUGCACUCACCAUGGCUGAAUUUUCUAAGAGAAAAUGUGAAGAUGAUUUUGCCAUAUUUCAAGUUAUUUAAUUUGUGUUUGAUGAUUUGGAGUAUUGUGAGAAAAAUGAAAUUAUUUGGAGUUGAAUUGGACGUAUUGGCCAAUUAAUCGAGUGAUAGAUCGAAUUAGGCCAAUACCGUUUUAUUUAGGUACAUAAUUGAAUUUAUAUUGAACAUCGAAUUUAGAGAGUUACCUGAGUAUUUCACAUCCCAUUUCAUGCAUUACUAUAGAACUUGAAUUGGUUUUAUAACAAUUUAGCACAAAUGUAGUAAAUGACUUAUUGUGCAUUAUGUCUAGGUGGUGAGCAUUCUGGCAAAAAUAAAGAGAUAGUACUCGAGGAUCAAGAAUCGGAGUACUCGAAAUUCGACUCCCGAAAUAGUGAGUAACCUUACUAUCAUCUUAAUUAUCUAAAGUGGUUUUUAUCUGAUUUUGUGAUUUUAUAGAAAAUGAGUUUAAAUGGUAAAUCUUUAUGUUUUAUAAGCAAAAUGUGUUUAAAUGAAAUGAUUUUAUAAAUUGUCUUGAAAUUGAAUGAUGGCUUUGAAAAUAGAGUAAUUGGAGACCACUUGAUGUAUUAUGAAUUUAUGGUUCUAAUUGAAUGGCUUAUGAUAAUAUUGGCAUGAAUGGUUGGAUUUGGUAAAUAUGCUAAAAAAGUAUGAACUGUUGAUUUGCCUUGAGAGGCUGUAAAAUAAAAUAAUUGCCAUGUCAUGCUGUUGAAUUUUAUUAAAUUGGUGGGUUAUAAUUGGUCGCUGCAGUGGACGAGUUCCGUGGACCAGCCUAUUAGAGGGGCACGGUGUAAAACCCGACCCUAUAAACACAUGUCAUGGCAUACAUGCACUGAGUAGCAUGUUAUUACGCUAGGAAAGCUCCUAAGAAUAUAUGAAACCCGGUAUUGUACCUAACGGUACACUUGAGCUAAUUUAACCUUGAACUAGUUCAAAUAAGAAUUAUAUGAUGAAAUUUAAUAUUUUAUAGUCUAGGAAUGACUAAAAAUGAUUGUUUGGAGUUCGAGGGUUCAUUUGGGGAAAAAUUGAAAAUUUUGAUGUUCAGGGGCAAAAUCGGCUUUUUGCCACCUAAGAUAAUAAUUUGAUCAUGGAGUGAAAUUUUUGACCAAGAUUAACUAUUUGGAGUAUAAUUUAAUGAUAGGAAGUGAAAAUUUUCAAUUCCGAUAAUUUUCGAAACAUAAGGGCAAAACAAUAAUUUCGUUGCCCUAAGGUAAAAUCGUAAUUUUCACCACCCAAAACUUAUCAAAAUUAUAGGAUUUAUUUAUUUUUGGUAUGAAUAACUAUGGUAUUUUAAGUGGUGAAAAAUUGAAGUUUAAAGGACGAAAGUUUAAAAACGGGCCAAUGGAAUAGUGACACAUGGCACUUUUUAAUAAUUUAAUAUUAUUUUAAAGGAAAAUCAGCCCAUUUAAACCCCACAUCAAGUGAUGGUCGGCCAUAAGGAGAAAAUAAGAGAGAAAAUAGAGAGGAAAGUAAGAAAAGAGAAAAACCAAAGGAAAACUAGAAAAUUCAAAGGGGAAUUAGCAUUUUUCGUCCGUUUACGCAUCUAACAGUAAGAUUUUUCGACUUUAGGUUGAUUUCUAACUUUCCUAUGCAUUUGUUUCCAUUUAGCAUGCUUGAGGAGAGAGAUCAAAAAGUGAUACCAAGGGCUGGCCGAAUUUCAAGGGGGUGGAUUUUGAAAUUUUUAUGUUUUGAUUCUUAGUUAAAUUGGUAGUUUUAGUUAGUUAAAUGUGUAUAGAAAUCAAAUUUGGCAAGAAAGCAUGAAGUUCUCACAAUACCCACCCUUGCCUGAAUAUUCAAUGAUGUACAAUGAUGAUGAACUGAUUUUUAUUCUAAGAGAAAUGAAGAGAAAAUGAUGAAAAAUGGUUAAAUGUGAUAGAAAAACAAAGUGGAAAAUUAACCGAGUAAAUGUCCCAUUUUUUAUCGAAUUUUUCAAGGAGGAAAGUGAGCUGAUUUUGGUAAUUUUAGAGGGUUAUUGGCUGAUAUUUAAUGGUUAAAAAUGUUGGAGAGAAAAUGGGACAAUUUAAAGUUAAAAUGGAGCGCGUCAGCAAUUUAUCAGGUCAAGUGCUAAAAAUAGGUUAAUAUCGCGUUUAAGCCAUUUUAGGCUAUUGCAUUUCAUACCAUGCAUUAGUAUAGGAUUUAAGUCAAUUAUAUAGUGAUUUAGCAUUAAUGUGGUGAAUUAUGUAAUUUUUGUAAUGUGUCUAGGAGGAGAGCCUUCCGGUAAAGACAAGGAAGUCGUACUCGAUGAACAGUGAUCGGGGAACCUAAAAAGCAUUUAAUUUGUACAAACGGUGAGUAAACCUAUUAUCAUUGUAAAUUAUCUAGUGUUUAUUUUUAAAUGCUCUUCAUGUAUUUUAUGAAACGAAAAUGAGAUUAAAAUGGGACUUUUGAUGUUUUAGAAAUAAAUGUGACAAAUAAAUAUAUUGUGUUGAUUAUCUGAAAUAAGAAACUUUUGAUCAUGAAAUCGAGUAAUUGGAGGCUGCUAAUUGUCUUGAAAAAUAUAUUUUCCUAUGAAUGGCUUUUGAUAUAUGAGUAUAUGUGGCUAUAUUUUAUAAUUGCAUUGGGAAUUUAUGUAAGCUGUCUUUUACUAUGCAGGUGGAUAAAUAAAUAAAAGCCAUGUUAUACUAUCAAAAUUUUAUUAAAAUUAAUGGGUUUAGUCACUGCAGUGACAAGAUUCCGUGGAUUGGUUAUUAGAGGGGUACGGUAAACUCGGUUGCAUAGUUACUCUGGUUGUAGAGGCGAGGAGGGUAACUCUUAGGGUAGUGUUAGAGCUCACUUCAAGUUGAACCCCCACAUGAAUGUGUA
rnacentral:lncRNA from 1 species